UGCAGUCGAACGGGGACUUCGGUCCUAGUGGCGAACGGUCGCGUAACACGUAAGCAACCUGCCCUGAAGUGGGGGACAACAUCCCGAAAGGGGUGCUAAUACCGCGUGUGGUCACGAGUCGGCAUCGGCUUGUGUCUAAAGAUUUAUCGCUUCAGGAUGGGCUUGCGGCCUAUCAGGUAGUUGGUGGGGUAAUGGCCUACCAAGCCGACGACGGGUAGCUGGUCUGAGAGGACGAUCAGCCGGAUUGGGACUGAGAUACGGCCCAGACUCCUACGGGGGGCAGCAAUUAGGAAUCUUGCGCAAUGGGGGAAACCCUGACGCAGCGACGUCGCGUGAAGGAUGAAGGCCCUCGGGUCGUAAACUUCUUUUGAGUGGGAAGAAAUUUGACGGUACCACUCGAAUAAGCCCCGGGGGGGGUGCGUGCCAGCAGCCGCGGUAAUACGUAGGGGGCGAGCGUUGUCCGAAGUUACUGGGCGUAAAGCGCGCGUAGGCGGUUAUUCAAGUCUGGGGUGAAAGGUUCAGCGCUCAACGUGAACAGUGCCUUGGAUACUGGAUGACUUGAGUCUGGGAGGGGGAAGGGGAAUUCCUGGUGUAGCGGUGAAAUGCGUAGAUAUCAGGAGGAACACCGGUGGCGAAGGCGCCUUCCUGGCCUAAGACUGACGCUGAGGUGCGAAAGCGUGGGGAGCAAACGGGAUUAGAU
rnacentral:rRNA from 1 species